AAAACUGCGAAUGGCUCAUUAAAUCAGUUAUCGUUUAUUUGAUAGUUCCUUUACUACAUGGUAUAACUGUGGUAAUUCUAGAGCUAAUACAUGCUUAAAAUCUCGACCCUUUGGAAGAGAUGUAUUUAUUAGAUAAAAAAUCAAUGUCUUCGGACUCUUUGAUGAUUCAUAAUAACUUUUCGAAUCGCAUGGCCUUGUGCUGGCGAUGGUUCAUUCAAAUUUCUGCCCUAUCAACUUUCGAUGGUAGGAUAGUGGCCUACCAUGGUUUCAACGGGUAACGGGGAAUAAGGGUUCGAUUCCGGAGAGGGAGCCUGAGAAACGGCUACCACAUCCAAGGAAGGCAGCAGGCGCGCAAAUUACCCAAUCCUAAUUCAGGGAGGUAGUGACAAUAAAUAACGAUACAGGGCCCAUUCGGGUCUUGUAAUUGGAAUGAGUACAAUGUAAAUACCUUAACGAGGAACAAUUGGAGGGCAAGUCUGGUGCCAGCAGCCGCGGUAAUUCCAGCUCCAAUAGCGUAUAUUAAAGUUGUUGCAGUUAAAAAGCUCGUAGUUGAACUUUGGGCCCGGUUGGCCGGUCCGAUUUUUUCGUGUACUGGAUUUCCAACGGGGCCUUUCCUUCUGGCUAACCUUGAGUCCUUGUGGCUCUUGGCGAACCAGGACUUUUACUUUGAAAAAAUUAGAGUGUUCAAAGCAGGCGUAUUGCUCGAAUAUAUUAGCAUGGAAUAAUAGAAUAGGACGUUUGGUUCUAUUUUGUUGGUUUCUAGGACCAUCGUAAUGAUUAAUAGGGACGGUCGGGGGCAUCAGUAUUCAAUUGUCAGAGGUGAAAUUCUUGGAUUUAUUGAAGACUAACUACUGCGAAAGCAUUUGCCAAGGACGUUUUCAUUAAUCAAGAACGAAAGUUAGGGGAUCGAAGAUGAUCAGAUACCGUCGUAGUCUUAACCAUAAACUAUGCCGACUAGGGAUCGGGUGGUGUUUUUUUAAUGACCCACUCGGCACCUUACGAGAAAUCAAAGUCUUUGGGUUCUGGGGAG
rnacentral:rRNA from 1 species